GAAGAAUGACUUUAAAAUCAAUGCGGCAUAUAACUAAGCAUUCUUCCGAAUCAAACAAUACAAGAUUUCCCUUGUCACAUAAUUGACUUAUGCUAAAGAGAUUGUGUUUAAGCCCUUUUACUAAUAAGAUAUUCUUAAUAGAGGAGGAUUCGUUCUUACCUACGGAGCCGAUGCCGAUUAUUUUUCCUUUAUUAUUGUCUCCAAAUACAACGCUUCCUCCUUCCGUGGGUUUUAUUUGAAGGAAUUUUGAUGCAUCUCCAGUCAUAUGUUUAGAGCAUCC
rnacentral:lncRNA from 1 species